AGCUUCACUUACAGUCAUUUAUUAGAAUAGAAUAUUUUGAUACCGUGAGGUGCUAGUAUUGAAUUAUUCAAUAAGAGCCCAAUCUUUUUGUACUUGAUUCAACUCUGAGUCUUCUAUCAAAUUGUUGAAUAAAAUAUUCCAAUAUUGCAGCUUGAAGCACAUCUUUUCCUUGCUUUCUUCAUCUUUUCUUGUGUUUUCAGGCUUCUCCACCUUACUUCAAUCAUCAUUGGUUCUUUGGGUUGUCAUUCACUCACAUUUAUGCACAUUUUAUCUUAUUUCUGUUGUAUUCUCCAUUAGACUUAAACAGCAGUCCCAAAAUAAGGGCUUAGCAUAUAUACAAGCUAAAAGAUAAUGGUUUGCACUCAAAAGCUAUUCAAAAACCUAUUUCUAUAUAAGGAAACACAUCGGUUUUGAGUACUAAUCAACUAUUGCCAUAAUAGCUUUCUCCAUGAAUUUUCAAGAAUCUCUGGCAUAGGCUUUUUGGAAGGAAAGAGAAAACUAGCUGGAUACAUCAUUCAAAUAUGACGCUUAAAUGUUUUUUUUUUCAUGGAAAAACAAAUGAAUCAUAACAAAGAUGAAAAACUGCUAUAAGAACUAGGUGCUAUGUAUAUUCUGAAAUCCACAAUCAUGGAUCUACUAGACAAUAAUUCAGUGACCCAGGCAAUUAUUCCUUUUUGGCAUCACAGGAUACUGAAGGUAAAGCGUUCUCUUCCAAACAAACUUUUUGAAUGGUUGAAUGGUAACUUAAUGAAGUGCUCAUGAAUCAAGGUUUCUCAGAUGCUCAAUUCAUCUGCAACAUUUGGAGAUAUGAUGAUAGACAAGAAGAUCAAAUCGAAAUUUUGAAUUAUUCACAAGCUGUCCAGACCCAUAUGAGAACAACUGUCAUUUAUUUGUCUUGAAAAUUCUAGGACAUAGGAAAGAGACAGAAGUAUUGACAGGCAACCAACUUCAAUAAAAUCAUUCAACAACCAAAUGGCUCAUGCAAAGGUGCUCAUUAAUUCCCAAAUGGAAAAAGGAGAUUUUCCACAACAGGUUAGAUAUCUUAGCUUUCAACUAAUUAUAUACCAGAAGAAGUUAGUUACUGAAUGAGAAAUUUAUGUAAUUUUGAGUAAUUUAGAGUCGUGUUUUGUUUUGUUUUUAGGUUUUUUCAAUGAAGAAAGGCAUUGUGCCUAAACUAUACAGAUGUUACACAAAUUUUUCCUAUCAAUUUUAGCAAGUUCAAAUAUGUGGU